rnacentral:rRNA from 1 species
UACGAAGGGGGCUAGCGUUGUUCGGAAUUACUGGGCGUAAAGGGCGCGCAGGCGGUCCUUCAAGUCAGGCGUGAAAGCCCCGGGCUCAACCUGGGAAUCGCGCUUGAGACUGAGGGACUUGAGUUCGGGAGAGGAGAGCGGAAUUCCCAGUGUAGAGGUGAAAUUCGUAGAUAUCGGGAAGAACACCGGUGGCGAAGGCGGCUCUCUGGACCGACACUGACGCUGAGGCGCGAAAGCGUGGGGAGCAAACAGG